rnacentral:rRNA from 1 species
AAUCAAGCUACAAAGAGCACAGGGUGGAUGCCCUGGCACCAUACGCCGACGAAGGACGUGGCAAGCUGCGAUAAGCUACGGGGAGCCGCAAGCAGGCACCGAUCCGUAGACAUCCGAAUGGGGAAACCCGGCAGGUGAAGAACCUGUCACCGUAAGAUGAAUCCAUAGUCUUACAGGAGGGCACGCGGGGAACUGAAACAUCUAAGUACCCGCAGGAAGAGAAAUUAAUUUAAAGAUUUCCUAAGUAGCGGCGAGCGAACGGAAAAAGAGGCCAAACCGGGGGGCAUGCUCCCCGGGGUUGUGGGUCAGUAACGUGUAUGGAAGACUUUAGCCGAAGAGAGAUGGAAAGCUCAGCCAAAGAGGGUAACAGCCCCGUAAGCGAAAGAGUCAACCAGCUAACUGAUACCAGAGUACCGCAGGGCACGUGAAACCCGGCGGGAAGCAGGGUGGACCACCAUCCAAGCCUAAAUACGAUAUGGUGACCGAUAGCGCAUAGUACCGUGAGGGAAAGGUGAAAAGAACCCCGGGAGGGGAGUGAAAGAGAACCUGAAACCCUGUGUUUACAAGCAGAGAAAGUACAUGCCAUGUACGAUCUCGUACUUUUUGUAGAACGGACCGGCGAGUUACGUUAUGCAGCGAGGUUAAGGACUGAAGGUCCGGAGCCGAAGCGAAAGCGAGUUUGAAUAGGGCGAUAGUUGCAUGACGUAGACCCGAAACCGGGUGACCUAUCCAUGGCCAGGUUGAAGUGGGAGUAAAAUCCCAUGGAGGAGGACCGAACCAGACGUCUGUUGAAAAAGGCGGGGAUGAGCUGUGGAUAGGGGAGAAAUUCCAAUCGAACCCGGAGAUAGCUGGUUCUCCUCGAAAUAGCUUUAGGGCUAGCCUCAUGGAUAAUUGAUGGGGGUAGAGCACUGAAUGGGCGCGGGGGACUCAAAUCCUACCAAACUCUAUCAAACUGCGAAUACCAUACAAUGCAAACCAUGGGAGUCAGUCCGCGAGAGAUAAGUUCCGCGGGCAAAAGGGGAACACCCCAGAUCAACCGCUAAGGUCCCAAAGUACACGUUAAGUGGAGAAGGAUGUGGAAUUGCACAGACAACCAGGAUGUUGGCUCAGAAGCAGCCACACAUUUAAAGAGUGCGUAAUAGCUCACUGGUCGAGUGGUUGUGCGCCGAAAAUGUCCGGGGCUAAAACGUGACACCGAAGCGAUGGAUGCGCGCAAGCGCGUGGUAGAGGAGCGUUCUGUGGGGGCUGAAGCCGUAUCGAGAGGCACGGUGGACCGCACAGAAGAGAGAAUGCCGGUAUGAGUAGCGAGAGCGAAGCGAGAAACUUCGCCGUCGAAAGCCCAAGGUUUCCUGGGGAAGGUUCAUCCACCCAGGGUAAGUCGGGGCCUAAGCCGAGGACGGAAGUCGUAGGCGAUGGACAGCAGGUGUAUAUUCCUGCACUACCGAAGAAUGAAGCAGUGACACAGAAGGAUAGUCUGAGCGGGGUGAUGGUCAACUCCGUACAAGCACUGAGGUUGGAACGUAGUGAAGUACGCGUUCCUCUAAGCUGAGGUGUGACGUGGACCGAAAUCAAGUAGGGAAGCAGAUGAGUUCACGCUGGCGAGAAAAGCUGCUAGUAUAUCUGAAGGUACCCGUACCGGAAACCGACGCAGGUGGGCGAGGAGAGAAUCCUGAGACGAACGGGAGAACCCUUGUUAAGGAACUCGGCAAAAUGACCCCGUAACUUCGGGAUAAGGGGUGCCUCGAGAGAGGCCGCAGAGAAUAGGCUCAAGCGACUGUUUAGCAAAAACACAGGUAUCUGCGAAAGCGAGAGCUGACGUAUAGGUGCUGACACCUGCCCGGUGCUGGAAGGUUAAGGGAACAUGUUAGAGCAAUCGAAGCAUCGAACCGAAGCCCCAGUAAACGGCGGCCGUAACUAUAACGGUCCUAAGGUAGCGAAAUUCCUUGUCGGGUAAGUUCCGACCCGCACGAAUGGUGUAACGAUUUGAGCGCUGUCUCAACAGGGGGCCCGGUGAAAUUGAAGUAUGGGUGAAGAUGCCCAUUACCCGCGACUGGACGGAAAGACCCCGUAGAGCUUUACUGUAGCCUGAUAUUGGAUUUCGGUAACGGAUGCACAGGAUAGGUGGGAGGCUUGGAAGUUAGGACUUCGGUCUUAGCGGAGCCGCUGUUGGGAUACCACUCUUCUGUUACUGGAAUUCUAACAUGGACCCGUAAACCGGGUAAUGGACAGUGUCAGGUGGACAGUUUGACUGGGGCGGUCGCCUCCGAAAGAGUAACGGAGGCGCCCAAAGGUACCCUCAGAAUGGAUGGAAAUCAUUCGAAGAGUGCAAAGGCAGAAGGGUGCCUGACUGCGAGAGUGACAAUUCGAGCAGAGACGAAAGUCGGGCUUAGUGAUCCGGCGGUAUUGAGUGGAAAAGCCGUCGCUUAACGGAUAAAAGCUACCUCGGGGAUAACAGGCUGAUCUCCCCCAAGAGUCCACAUCGACGGGGAGGUUUGGCACCUCGAUGUCGGCUCGUCGCAUCCUGGGGCUGAAGCAGGUCCCAAGGGUUUGGCUGUUCGCCAAUUAAAGCGGCACGCGAGCUGGGUUCAGAACGUCGUGAGACAGUUCGGUCCCUAUCCAUCGUGGGCGUAGGAGUCAUGAGAGGAGCUGUUCCUAGUACGAGAGGACCGGAAUGGACGCAUCACUGGUGCAACUGUUGUCGUGCCAACGGCAUAGCAGGGAAGCGAAAUGCGGACGGGAUAAACGCUGAAGGCAUCUAAGCGUGAAGCCCACCUCAAGAUAAAGACUCCCAUUGCGCAAGCAAGUAAGACCCCUGGAGGACUACCAGGUAGAUAGGUCAUCGGUGGAAGUGCGGUAACGCAUGGAGCUUGAUGAUACUAAUAGGUCGAGGGCUUGAUUUC